rnacentral:rRNA from 1 species
AGUGAACGCUGGCGGUAGGCCUAACACAUGCAAGUCGAACGGCAGCACAGUAAGAGCUUGCUCUUACGGGUGGCGAGUGGCGGACGGGUGAGGAAUACAUCGGAAUCUACUUUUUCGUGGGGGAUAACGUAGGGAAACUUACGCUAAUACCGCAUACUACCUACGGGUGAAAGCAGGGGAUCUUCGGACCUUGCGCGAUUGGAUGAGCCGAUGUCGGAUUAGCUAGUUGGCGGGGGAAAGGCCCACCAAGGCGACGAUCCGUAGCUGGUCUGAGAGGAUGAUCAGCCACACUGGAAAUGGGACACGGUCCAGAAUCCUACGGGAGGCAGCAGUGGGGAAUAUUGGACAAUGGGCGCAAGCCUGAUCCAGCCAUACCGCGUGGGUGAAGAAGGCCUUCGGGUUGUAAAGCCCUUUUGUUGGGAAAGAAAAGAAGCAGGUUAAUACCCCGCUGUUCUGACGGUACCCAAAGAAUAAGCACCGGCUAACUUCGU